rnacentral:rRNA from 1 species
AGUGAACGCUGGCGGCGUGCUUAACACAUGCAAGUCGAACGAGAACGGAUUAUAGCUUGCUAUAAUUGUCAGCUAAGUGGCGCACGGGUGAGUAAUAUAUAGAUAACCUGCCCUCUAGAAAGGAAUAACAGUUGGAAACGACUGCUAAUGCCCUAUAUGCCUUUAAUACAUAAGUAUGCAAGGGAAACGCUUUAGUGCUAGAGGAUGGGUCUGUAUGGUAUCAGCUUGUUGGUGAGGUAAUGGCUCACCAAGGCUAUGACGCCUAACUGGUUUGAGAGGAGGAUCAGUAACACUGGAACUGAGACACGGUCCAGACUCCUACGGGAGACAGCAGUGGGGAAUAUUGCACAAUGGACGAAAGUCUGAUGCAGCAACGCCGCGUGGAGGAUGACACAUUUCGGUGCGUAAACUCCUUUUAUAUAGGAAGAUAAUGACGGUACUAUAUGAAUAAGCACCGGCUAACUCCGUGCCAGCCGCCGCAGUAAAAC